rnacentral:rRNA from 1 species
GGGUCAGUAGGUUGGUCGUGCCACCGGUACGUACUGGUCUCACUGAUUCCUCCUUCCUGAAGAACCGUGAUGCCAUUAAUUUGGCGUUGCGGGGAAACAGGACUGUUACUUUGAAAAAAUUAGAGUGUUUAAAGCAAGCUAACGCUUGAAUACAUUAGCAUGGAAUAAUGAAAUAGGACGAUCGAUCCUAUUUUGUUGGUUUCUAGGAUUGACGUA